AGUUUGAAUUGUUGUUCUUUGUCUCCUUUGCCUUGUGUGUAG
rnacentral:sRNA from 1 species